UGAGGGGUCCCGCACGCCUGGAGCAGAGAGGGUCUGUGUCAAGAGCGGCGGGGGCUGCAGGAGGCAAGAGAGACGGAAUAUCUACUGAGUACCUGUUGUGGGCUAAUCAUUGUUCUUGGUGCUGGAAAUGUAUCAGUGAUGAAGAGGCUAACUUCCCUGCUCUCUGGGAGCUUAAUAUGAGCAACUUUGCCUGCCUGACUAUGUCUGGCACCAUGGGGCAUGCGUCCGCUUCUGAGUCACAUGUUCAUUGACAACUGAGGCUCCAGCACUGGAUCCAGGCUUGCUGAUUGAUAGAGGCUGGUGAGUGAGGGGACAAGCUGGAAAGCUCCUGAGCUGCCCCCCGCC
rnacentral:lncRNA from 1 species